AGGCAGGGAUGAGUCCUGAGCAUAGGAGCUUACAGUCUAUAAGAGGAGAUACAAGAGGUGGGGGAGAAUCCCGACCACAGAAGCUUACAAUCUAUAAGAGGAGAUACUAGAGGUGGGGAUGUAUUCUGACCACAGGAGCUUACAAUCUAUAAGAUGAGAUACUAGAGGUGGGGGAGAAGUAAGACUCCCGACCAUAGGAGCUUACAAUCUAUAAGAGGCGAUACAAGAGGUGGGGGUAUGAGGAAGAGUCCUGACCACAGGAGCUUACAGUCUAAAGGUGAAAUACAAGAGGUGGGGAGGAG